rnacentral:lncRNA from 1 species
CUUCAUCCAUGUGUGUUGGAGCCAACAAAAGGCUCCAGAGCUGCUCUUGUGCCUUGUCCCACAUAACGCUUUCAUUUUAAGACCAAGCCCCAGUAUUAAAAGUAAACAUCAACACUCUGAGUGAUUCUUGGCCAUAGCAAGGCUCCCCAGCAUCAUUGCAGGAAAGAAAUCUCAACAAGGGCCUCUCAGUUAACUACACAGCCUCCAUCCCAGCAGCCCUGUUCAAGCACAGCCCCUGCAGACGGGGGCACCACAGCUUUUCUCUGUGGCAGAGGAAAGCUAUGGAUUUAUUGUUUCACCAUCAGGAAAUCGCGCUAGUUUGUUGUUGUUGUUGUUGUGUUUUGUUUUGUUUUUGGAGACAGGGUCUUACUGUGUAGUCCUGGCUGUUCUGGAACUCACUCUGUAGACCAGCCUGGCCUCGAACUUACAAAGAUCUGCCGGCCUCUACCUCCCCAGUGCUAGGGAUCAAAGGCAUGUGACACCACCACCCGGCCUGCUCUAGUUGUGAAGGGGAGUAACUAACUAACCGUACAGAUAGCCCGACCACCAGUUCUACUUUCGAAGAGGUGAAAAAUAAUCCCAUUAAAAUACUGUGUUUCGCAUUCUCUGGAUAGCUGAGCUUCCUGACCGACAUUCCUCCCGGAGCUGGGGAGGAAGCUUGACUCAGCUCAGCUCUGCUUGGAGUCCUGAGGAACAGGCUAAAUGCAUGGUGGAUCAGGGCAGCAUUCCGGAGUCAGGGGCCACGGGGCAGGUUCCCCCCAGCUCGGGGUCACAGGACAGAAGGAGAGAGGAAAAGAGUGUGGAAAGUCGGACUGCAACUGACUGCAUGCUGACGUCAUUGUCCAGGCCAGCCGCAGCUGCUCCUUCCUGGAAAGAGGCUCGAAGGCCCCAGGACAAAAAGAUGUGAGGGGGAAUUACUUGAAGUGGGACACAAACAGAAACCAAAGGCAAAGCAAAAACUUUCACAUGCUGCUCAGGGCAAUCUGCUCGUGCAAAAUCGAAUCAGUGAAGCCAAUGCCAUGUCUUUGCUGCCCGCUACAACUUUAAAGUGUAUUUCACAGAGUUUUGUUUUUGGUUUUCCCCCUCAGCGAUGUCAUUUGGAGAAUGUUCAAAAAUGGCAAAGCAAAGAGAAGAGACACAUUAAAGAUUUCUGGAAAACGACUUUUAACACACUUUAGGCCCAUCGCUAGCUAUUGCAAAUGUAUUCAGCUCUUCCCUGAAAGGCAUUAGCAGUGAGGAAUAAAAUCAAGUCCUGCCAGGAAUCUCUCACGAUCCCUCCCACGCAUAGUUGAUUAAUGGACUCUAGUUAGGCUGGGUUUUAAUAUGCUUUGCUAUCCGGUGGCACAUGGUCGGGGAGCAGAGAGGCCGAGUCCUGGAAAAGGCACGUGUGCAGAGCACAUGACCUUGGGCGGAGUUCUGAGUGGGAUGAAUCCAGGGACUUUGAUGGUGGACACAAUGAAAGAGACAAUCAAUCUCUACAGAUCUGCUAUGGAAGAAAAACCACAGCCCAUCCGCAUACCCCAGAGGACCCAGGGAGGAGCAAAACAGAAACCGGAUCUCCAUAGGAAGCGGUGUUACCAGAACGCCUGGGGCCGCGGUAGAAUUCCUGACCUUGCCAUAUCUCUAGCACACUCUGGGUGCCAGUGGCUGGGAAGGGGGUGGAAAGAACUCAAGCGGAUGGCAGAACCACGUUUGAUGUACGGUAAGCAUUGACUCAGGGAAAGACAAAGCAUUCCAAGGCCAUUUCCCCCAGGAAGGAGGUUUUCUGGAACUAGGUUUAAGUUCCCAGCCUGAGUCUAUUCUAAGGUCUUUGCACACAUGGACUUGGGACUUCCGGAAUAUAGGUGCCCGACUCAUCCCAUCGUGUGCUCUUCUUAGCAUGGUACAAUGUUUAACACAAUGAAUGAAUGUAUGCAAGAAGCACAGAAUAAAUAAUUGAUUAGCUCUUUAGGGAAGAUAAUGGUUUCUAUGUAACUCUGAGUGCAGGAUGAAGGUUGAACAGAAGCGAAGGUGGUUUUGUGCCAUAAAAGGGAGCACAUUUGCCAGGAUGCCUCUGGAGGCCUCGUAAUUCCUGAGCUUGAUGUAGCCCUGGCAGGCUAUUGGUGGCUAACGGCCAGAGUGCUGUGACUUUUAUUUUUUUCCAAAGAGUGUCAUCUGGAGAUUGCCCCAAAUGGUAAAGCUAAGGGAGAAGACAUUUUUAACUUCUAGAAAACUUCAUUUAACCUGUUGCAAAGCCUAUUUCUGACUAAGUCCAAGGGUGUACAAAACUUUUCAUAAAGAAGUGUGACAGAUGACUAUAUAUGUCAGAGCAACACUACAAAAGCCAUUAGGUAGGAGAAUUUUCACCCAGCAUGGCCAAAAACAUAGGAAUGACCAGCUUGUCUCCUCAAUCCUGGGAAAAGCACCCUCAAAUAUCUCCAAAUUCCUCAAACAUCCCUCGGGUCACAUCUAAAUCUCUAGCCAAGACCACCUACAGAUACUUGUCUUCAGCCAAGGCCACCUACAGAGACCUUACACUUGUAGUGUUUUCAAUACCUAAUCCCUGAAGGAAAUGAGAGAGAGAGAGAGAGAGAGAGAGAGAGAGAGAGAGAGAGAGAGAGAGGAGACAUAAUCAUUGUUGGGAUCAGAUGAUGGGCUUCAAGUCUCUUCAGGCUGGUGUCCAAGGUAGUAUGACCCAGACUGACGCUCUGGGUAUGGAGUAUAAUGCUCUUAUGCUAAGGCAGGCUGUUUGGCAGGGACUGUGUUCCCCAGCCUUCCUUGCAUCUAAGUGAGAAGAUGGAUUGAUCUUCACCAAUGAGUGACACUAGAACCAACACGUUUCACUGAUUGCAAGCAUCUUCAUUGAGAAGGGCAUCUCAUCCAUGCUCUGCUCUGCCAUUCAGCAGUCGAGUGAGGAGGACUCUGCCGUCCUAGCAGAGGGGCGAAUUCCAGAUAGAGUGCCAGCAGAGAUGAUUUUUGAAGAUUCUCACUGCCAAAAAAGUUGUAAAUGGCUGAGGCGACAUUGUCUCCAGUUGCUCCUAGCUAAUCACUACUCAUUGUGUAUACAGACUGCAAUGCCCCACAAACCCCAGAAAUAAGUACCAGUUACAGUGUGUCAGCGAAAAGAAGAAGUGUUUUCUUUAAAGAGGCAGAGAAAACACUGGUUCAUGGGAGAUUGCCUGGGAACGCCUCUGUUUAACUGUGGCACUGUUAUAGUGUGACUUUGAUGUCCCCAAGGUUCUCUGCUGCUGACAGUAUUAUGGGAUGUAAUGGGAAUGUUAGGAGGUGGGGCCUCACCAAAGGAAGUAGGUCACUGGGGGGUGUGCCUUUGAAGAUUACAGCUGAGCCCAGGCUUUUUCUUCUGUGCUGGUUAGCUUUUUGUCACAAGCUCAGGUCAUCUGGGAAGAGGGACCCUAACUGAGACAGUGUCUCCAUAGGAUUAGCCUUUAGGCAAGUCUUUGGGGGCGUUUUAUUGGUUAGGGGUUGAUGCAGGAGUACCCACUCACUGUAGAUGGUACUAACUUGGGCAGAUGGUCCUGGCUUAUAUGAGAAAAACCCAAAAUUUUCCUCCAAUUUCAACUUAGCACUUGACAUUUUCAACUUAGCACAGGCUUAUUGGGAGGUAAUCCCACAAAUUGGGGAGUAUUUGUCUAUCAAAAUCAUAGAUCAAGAGUUCUCAUGGCUAAAACAACAAACUACAGGUGUAAAGAUAUGGGCAAAGGACAUGGACAAAAAUCCAGAGGAAAGUAGAACCAGGCCGCUAAGCUGUGGCUCCAUUGGCAGAAUGCUUGCCUCCAUGUAUACAGUUCUGGGUUUGAUCCUCAGACUAGGAGGAAAAAAAGUCCAAUAACAACAAGAAUACAUAAGAAGAUGGCCAACCUUGCUCGUAACUAAAGAAAUUAAAAUUUGUCUUUUAAGUAAUUUAUUUUUUAAGUUUUCAGCCAAGUAUUUAUUGUAUAUUGAAAGUACUCCCCUCUGUGGGGUUUGAAGGAGAUGUCCUCCAGAGUCUCUGGCAUUUGAACACUUGGUCCUCAGUUGGUGAUGCUGUUUGGGGAAGCUUGAGAGGCAUAGCUGGAGAAAGUACAGCGAUGGUGGUGGGUUUCGAGAGGCAAAGCCUCAUGCCAUCCCAGCUUGCUGUCUCUGUGCUUUGUGUUUGUGGUUCAAGAUGUGAGGUCCCGGUUUCCUGCUCCUGCUCCUGCCCCACACCUCAUUUCACUCCUGUGGACUCUUACUCUUCAGGAACAGUGACACUAGCUGAUGUCAAGUUGACAAGACAACAACAAACCUAACGAGCAUAGCACAGAUGGAUGCAAAUGGAAGCUGGAAGGUCAUUAGGAGAAGUUCCUGCCCCCCAUGACCUACUGCUAGAAGAGCUGCUUCCGGUCUAUAAAGCAAGCAGCAGGUGCCCAGGACUUACUGCUGAGCCCCUUGCAGGCUAAGCUAGACAAAGGGUCCUGAUUUCCCAGGAAGUGUCUGUUGGAGUGGGUACAGUACGGCUGUGGAAACACAAAGGAGCUGCCUCUCUCCAUCCCGAAGCGGUAAUAAGUUCUCUACCCACGAAGGGACACACUUGCUCGGGAUAGAGCAGGAAAGAUCCCGUCAUCAACAAGGCAAAGCACAAGGUGCUUGGGCUUCACUUCUAGACUUAAUCUCCCUCCCAUGCAGAUGUGCUGAACCUUCCAGAAACUGGUCUUUGUCGCCCCAAGCAAACAGCCACAUAGAAAAUCUGUGAGUCAGUCAGCCUGUUCCUGUUGGUCCACCCAGGCUGGAACACACUAAAAGCCCAAACAAAACAAGUGUGGCUCUUACAAGCAGGAGGACGAUAAGGGAUCCGGUUAGAGGCUUUGCCCAGUGACCCACUGGCUGUUCAUUCUGUGAAUUCUGCCCAGGAAUUUACAAGGAAUCCAAGGUCUGUGAUUGGGAAACUGGGAAGAGAGCCAUCAGGCCGAGUUGGCAGUGAAAAGCUGGGUGAAACAGCGGAUAUCUGGUAAGAACUGGGCUGAGUUUUAUCCACACUUACUCCCUCCCCUCAGAAGUGCAAAGGAAGACUACACCGCCUUAUCCCGUUGCAAAAAUGAAAAAUCAUUUCUUAUAUGGAACUGAACACUGAGUCCUAGAGACAGGGAGGUAGACCCACUGCCAGAAAUGACAUCAUUAGGUAGAACAAGCCAAGGCCUUGUGACUCCAACAAUGGCUCCCCCGUCCAAUGUCACCACAUCAACACAGCCUCCGGAAGAUCUUGGCCCCUGCAGGUCUGGUGCCUGUCUGUUCCCACAAUGCUUUUCUGCAGACAUUUACCACUCUCUCCGGUCAAAGGCAUCUAAGCACUUGUCAAGGUGUCCUGAGAUGGAUUCUCUCUGCAGUUACUUGCUCACUUUUCCUGAAGGGGAAAGUGACCUCCUCAUGGCCUCGCUUGUGGAUCCCUAGCCCCUUGUGGGGUGGUUCUGAGUAUCUGAAGCAGCCGCUUUGGAGAUGGGUGGUCCUGAGUUCAAGACAUACUUUUUAAUCUGUGUAAUCUUAGACAAAUUAUUUAAUAUCUCUUUGCCACAGAUUCCCCCAAGUUUUAAAUGAGAACAGAAACCAUUUCCCAGCACAGUCAGGAAGAUUAAUGGAUCAUUAGUAUCCAGCAAGGGGCCUGAAUGUGGUAACAGCAGAAUAAAGCUGUGACUGUCUCGGGAACCCCAUUACUCACCUGCCCUGGAUUGUGGCAGGGAAGAAUAGUUUCAUAGAUGGAGAAGACCCCUGUCCCCCCAAAGAAAGUGUGACUCACAGAGCAGCUUUCUGCCUUGCUGCAAACCACCCACCCACAGUCCCCUCUCCUUGAUGUCACCACUAUUAGACUGUUCUCCCAUUACACUAGAAGAGAGGGUUGAGGGCCAGCCUCUGCCCAGAAUGGGGACAUCCCAAGGCAAACCAGAAAGCAAAGGAAGCUGAAGGAGGCAGCUUAGAUGUGCCCUCUCUCGGGAGAAGCAGCCAUAAAAGAGCUCUGGCUGCUGCUUCCCUCUUGAUAAAUGCCCUCUGCUUCUCCAGCCAGAGCGACUGCCAGGAGUCAGCCUUGGUUGAAGUUGUAUGUUUUCCCCUGAGCAGUGACCUCAGUGCAGUCUUUCUAGGGAUUCAUAAUCCCUGGGAAUGCUGACAGCCCCAAAGUCACUGCCUCCUCCCAACUCUGCUCUUCUGGUGACAAGGAGGCCUCCAGCUCCUCAGUGGGAUAGACUCCAGGACUGCAGGGAUGGCUUCUCUGUCACUGUAACUCACAGCUUCCUGAAUGCUGAUGGACCUACCAGGCCACUGGGCACCCAGGGCUAAGCCUUUGCUGCUCACCUUCAGGUUCAUUGGUUCUCAGAACAGGGAAAGGAAGGGCUGAUGGGGACCCACCUGUGUGACACUCUGAGGUGAGUUCAGGGGGACUAAGCCGACUGGUACACAUGUAACCACAAGCCAGGCUUUGCGAGUGAAGGAUGCUCCCCAGCUAUGUGAUUGUGUCAUUUUUAUCUCUGGUCCUAUGGAGAACUGGGACUUGGUAGGUGCUGGGAGGGAGCAGAAACUUCAGGGCGCACAUGAGCAUAGUCUAGAAUUCUCUAGGAAGGAGGAAGAGGACAGAAUGGCUAGCUAGCACAAGUGCCUGAGGGACAGUGAAAUUGGUGGUGAUCAUUACUGCAACUUUGAGCUAAACUUGGGGUUGUCUGGGAGGUAAUCAGAGAAAUAGGAGGCUUGGGGUUACCUUGCACUAGUUGCAAGCAGGCCAUCCAUUGGGCUCUCGUGAAUUCAAGCCCCUCAGCCUUGUCUUAGCUGGGAAGCCUGGUUAUUGGCUACCAGUCCAGUGACAUGGGAAGAGCACAUUGAUAUUUUGAGGGACAGACCUGCAUCCUGUUACUUGCCUUCCAAUAUGAGGAGCCCUGACCCACCCUACCCCCCAAUCUGACCCAGCUAUCAGGUUUUAGGUUUUAGGACAACUGUUCCUAGUGCUAACCCCAGAAGAAGAGCCAGCUCCAAUCUGCCCCCCUUCCUUACACACUCAGGAUAUAUAUAUAUAUAUAUAUAUAUAUAUAUUUAUAUAUAUAUAUAUAUAUGGUGUGCUUAUUUGAGGCUCCCUGAUGCCCUAAAGCACACCUUUUUAGGCGACAGUCAUCUUGUCAAAUACAAAGCCUAAACACUCAUGAUCUGGAUGGUUCUGACUUGAAUGGGAGCCUUAGUGUCUCCCUGUGUCCUGGGACGCUGAGCUCUGUCUCUGACCCUGUAGCCUUGAGGUGAGGAUUUUGCCUGUUAGGGUCUGAGGACUUCUCAAAGCUGAAGUUGAUCUUCUAUGUGGGUCACCAGAGUAGAUGGCAUCCUCUAGUCACUCUUUGCAAGGACAAUGUCUAGCAAGUGCUCUCUGCUCUGGCCCUGCCCUCAGUUCCUUCUUGUAAUGCCCUGGCAAUUAUUAUUGUGAGCCACAGAUGACACCUGUGGUGGCUCAGAGGGGCUGAGUCUGCACAUGUCUCUUGAGGGCUGUGUGUGGCUUGUGAUGGAGGCAGCUAGUGAGAAGUUCCCUGUGCCCUGUGACUAAGCUCAGAAAGGCAAUGAAGGCUUAGCUGGCUGCUUGUGUCCUGACUGGAGACCGAGGGUUCAGUGCAAUGUAACUCAGCUUAGGGGUUUCUUGAGUCCCUACAAGAACAGUCCGUAGGCUGAGUGUAGAUAAAACCAGAAGCAAAUGGCCUCAAAGAGAUCACAGUGAACGCUUCAGGUAGAAGACAGCAACAGAGGAGAUGUUGACAAGAGGCUUUCCCAUGAACCCCGCCCUCUGCGAAAUAUCUUUCCUUCACCUCUUCCCCAGAUUAACUUUCCUGGAUCCUCCCUAGGCUCUCACCUCAGUGACAUUUCCUUGAAGGAGGUUUCCCUGCUUGGAGUGGCUCGGGUAAUUCCCUGGUUAUACUCUCUGUCUGGGCUACGGGUUCCACUCCUCAGCAGCUCAUGUCCCUGAUAAAAUGUGCAGUUCUCUGUGUGGUUACUUGAUUACUUUAUGUCCCCUGGCUAGGCUGAUUAGAAGCUCCAUCAUGUUGAGUACCAGGUAUAGGAAGAACACUAUGAAGACCCACUGGGAAAACACAUGGUGAACUGUACGACAGCUAUUGGCAGUGCUUCAGAGUCUCCAGAUUUGCAGUCCAGGAUUUACACCAGCAACUGGCCUCUCCUUUCACCUGUAGCCUCACAAUGGAAAUCACUCCAUUAACUCCCCCCAGCAACUAGGUCUUCAGACUCAGCCUUCUCAGGACUUCUGCUUGCAAAUGGUAUUUCAUGAGACUUUAUGGGUGAUGUAACCUAUAGGCCCAUUACCAUAUUCAAUCUCCAUUGUACAUCUCCAC